UACGGAGGGUGCAAGCGCUGUUCGGAAUCACUGGGCGUAAAGCGCGUGUAGGCGGCCUCUUAAGUCUGGUGUGAAAGCCCGGGGCUCACCCCGGGAAGGGCACUGGAUACUGGGAGGCUAGAGUACCGGAGAGGAGGGUGGAAUUCCUGGGGUAGCGGUGAAAUGCGUAGUUAUCAGGAGGAACACCGGUGGCGAAGGCGGCCCACUGUACGGCUAAUGACGCUGAGACGCGAAAGCGUGGGGAGCAAUCAGG
rnacentral:rRNA from 1 species